AUGGCUCGCGCCACUCGAACCCGCAGGGUGUGGUUAUCCUGCCAGCGGUGCCACCGCUUCCUCGCUGCAGACCGUAUCUGUAACAGCUGCAGCUGUUCUGUGCAGGGCUCAGGUGUGUGUUGGAGGACACUGGAGUGUUCCUUGGUUUCCACAAUGCUGUUCGUGAUCACCAGACAAAGAGAGUAAGUACUACUCUAACAAAAGAGCCAAGAGGCCCAUGGUCACUCUGGAGGACCUGCAGAGAUCCACAGUUUAUGUCAUCAUGCUGCUGGGAUGCUUUUUUUUUUUUCUUCAGCAGGGACAGAGGGAAGAUGGGAAGAUGGAUGGAGAUAAAUAGUGGAAGAAAACCUGUUGAGACCUUCCAGCAAGACGAUGACCCUAAAGAUAGAGCCAGAGCUACAGUGGAAUGAUUUAGACAUGCCGCUGUAACUGAAGCAAAAGGAAGUGAACUUUAAAAGAAACCCAGCAUAUUUUGAGAGAAGUGUGAAUUCUGAACUGCGUUGUUUGAAGGUGGAAGCUGUAACCGGAGGCUCGCUCGUUAAAGACUUAACUCCCCGAUCUCUCCAAACAAGGAAACCCUGAGUGCAGCUUCCUGGAGCUGAAAAUAACUGGCGGAGGAUACCGAGUGUGUUUUAACUGGAGGGCAAGUCUGGUGGAGCAUCAAAGCAUGCUGGGAAAUAGCGUUCUGGGGGGGAACUGAACUAGUUUUUUAUUUUCCACCUCAAAUAUUCAUGAAACUGAAGAGGAGGAGGAAGGGGCCAACGCUACAGAUGGUUAUAAGAAUGAGAGUCUGAGUGAUCUGGACAAACGAAUGAUGAUACACCAAACAAGCGUAGCAUUAUAACUGUCUCUAAUCAUCUGCUGUUCCAAUAAGCUUCUGCAACGUCUCAAGAUUUCAAUCCAGUGUUUCAUUAAUUUUUCACCAAGAUCUUGCAGCAGCAUUGAUGAUGGUAGAGUCUGACCACUGCACAAAGCAGCUCUUCUCCAUCCAGCACAUCCCAAAGAUUAUCAAUGAGGUUAAGACCUGGACUCUGUGGUGAACUCUCUCUCAAUCCAUGUGUGAAAAUGAUGAUCUCAUGCUCCCCUAGCUAUUUGUCCACUGCUGCACACCGUAAUUACACUUUGUGUGCAGCGUUUCCACGGAGAUCCAUGUUAAAACACAACAGCGAGUGGAAAUGGAGGAGCUACUGAACGCUACUGAUGUCAUGUGACCGAGAAAUCCUAAACACUCACUGUUGUUCCAGUUGCAGUCCGGAUGCAGGAGUUUUAUCACUGAGUGGAAGUGUGAAAUAUUUUUUACAGACGCCCCCCUGAGAAACUAAUCCCAUCCACCAAUAAAUGUCGCAUUAAAACGCACUCAGAGGAAAGCGCCAGAUCCUCAGCUCUGAUACAUCAGCUAACAGACACCAGUACCGACCAGCAUCACAACUGUAUCCAUCCAGAAACAACAUGGCCAACUGUACUCUCUCUCUCUCUCUCUCUCUCUCUCUCUCAGACUCCGGCUGCUGAUGGAAAAACAGCAUAACCCAGAAUAUAAACUGGCUAUACGCAGAUCACAGUGACUGCAAUUAAGCCCGAUUGGAGUACUGUGCACCAGAUUUUAUCAGUCUGACAGGAACCAAACUCUUUACUUUUUAAGCAGAUUAAAUAUUUUAUCUGAGACCAGCAAAGUCCAGUGAAUAUAUAUAAUAAAAUAAAAAAUGAAAUGAUAGUGAUUCUGUGAGCAAAAAAAUAAUGAGGGACACUUUAUCCUAUUUCCAAACGUUUAACUUUUUGAAUAUUAUAGAUCGAAAUGCAACAUUAGAUCCUUUAACUCCAUGUCUUUAACUUUUUUUUAAACAAAAUUUAACAUAAUAUUCAUUUGUGUACAGUUCUGAUUUUUAUUUUAUUUCAUUUUAUUUAUCUCUUAGCUUCAACGGCUUUUCAGUGCACUUUAUUCCUUUAGUACUUUUUAACUAUAUUCUUAUUUUAUUUACAGUUUAUAGUAUGUUCCAAAUUCCUUGUAUGUGGAAUAAAGUGAUUUUGAUUCAGA